rnacentral:misc_RNA from 1 species
CAGAGUUCAUGCCCUCACGGGUAGAUCUCCCACCCUGUGUUAUCAAUUCUUUGUUGCUUUGGCGGGCCGCCUGGCUCCGUUCAGGCCACCGGCUCCGGCUGGUGCGCGCCCGCCAGAGGACCCAAAACCCUGACUGUCUGUGUCGUCUGAGUAAAAUAUAAUAGUUA